rnacentral:rRNA from 1 species
GAUGAACGCUAGCGGCAGGCUUAAUACAUGCAAGUCGAGGGGCAGCAGGGAUGUAGCAAUACAUUCGCUGGCGACCGGCAAACGGGUGCGGAACACGUACGCAAUCUACCCAAAACUGAUGAAUAGCCCUCCGAAAGGAGGAUUAAUACAUCGUAACAUAAUGAAGUGGCAUCACUUUAUUAUUAUAGCUCCGGCGGUUUUGGAUGAGCGUGCGCCUGAUUAGGUAGUUGGCGGGGUAACGGCCCACCAAGCCUGCGAUCAGUAACUGGUGUGAGAGCACGACCAGUCACACGGGCACUGAGACACGGGCCCGACUCCUACGGGAGGCAGCAGUAAGGAAUAUUGGUCAAUGGACGCAAGUCUGAACCAGCCAUGCCGCGUGAAGGAUGAAGGUCCUCUGGAUUGUAAACUUCUUUUAUAGGGGACGAAACCUCUGUUUCUACAGAGACUGACGGUACCCUAGGAAUAAGCACCGGCUAACUCCGUGCCAGCAGCCGCCGUAA